rnacentral:rRNA from 1 species
CCCUACGGGAGGCAGCAGUGGGGAAUAUUGCACAAUGGGCGAAAGCCUGAUGCAGCAACGCCGCGUGAGCGAUGAAGGCCUUCGGGUCGUAAAGAUCUGUUGACAGGGACGAAUAAGCAAUGCGAAUAGUUUUGUGUAUGACGGUACCUGUUUAGAAAGCUCCGGCUAACUACGUGCCAGCAGCCGCGGUAAUACGUAGGGAGCAAGCGUUGUCCGGAAUUACUGGGCGUAAAGGGCGCGUAGGUGGGCGCUUAAGUCAGGUGUGAGAACUCCGGGCUCAACCUGGAGGCUGCACUUGAAACUGG